GUAAAAUUACAAGAGUAAAAUUUCCGUAGUUAAAAUUAUUUUACUCGAAAAUAGUAUUUUUUGCUCUGAUUUGAGGUGAAAGAACAAAACAAGAGUUGAGAGACACGCGGAGUUAGAUCUGAAUAACGGAGUCAUAAUUUUGACUCCUCCCCGAGGGCAACGCAGUUAAGUUUCGUUUUGUCCGCCAUUACGCCGAUGGUCAUUUCACCUGCAACCGAUCUGGAGAGAAGUCUGCUAGGAAAAUAACAACGCAAGAUGGAGGCAACUGUUAGGGUGAAAUAUAAGGACAGAAAGAAGUACUUCUUCCUAACAUCACCUUUUCAAUUCAAAGUAUUUUUGGAAAGUGUUGCCAAGAAGUUUGAUCUACCCACCCUGGAUAUUAAAGUCUAUGAUGAAACCAGGACCGAAAUCGAUGAUGAGGCAUUCGAAUACAUUCUAAAACAACAGGAUAUUGGGGUUUUAGAAAUUGUGAUCCCAACAGCAAGCGUUGAUGGUAAAAUAACUUUACGUUUUAACUUCUAGAUAUGAGUUUUUUAAUCAU